rnacentral:lncRNA from 1 species
AUAUUCCUCCAUUCUGGAGUUUAGGCCACAUAACACAUUCCUCUGCCGCAUUGUUAUAUAGGAUAUAUAGGAUACUACUCACCACAUGCAUGAUAGAUGGGCAUGCAGGAGCAGCCAUGCCAAUGCCAUGCAUUGCCAACAAAUGAUCAGUUGGGUUGAGGCUACAAUGCCAUACCAAGGUCACCUGCUCUCAGCAUCUGCUCGAGGAAUGUGAGUUGGCAAGCUGUUGGCUCGGAAAGCUUGCAGCAGCUAGCAGCCUAGCAUAGCAACGCUUGCCUGUGCUGUGAUCGAUAUAUACUACAUGUUCCUGCUCCUUUAUGUUUAGCUCAACUUAGGUAGUGAUGAUUGCUGGAUAUUAUUCUUUACUGAGAUGUUAUAUAUGGUUGGAGAUUUUGCUAGGAAGAUAACAUGUGAGCAUGUGCACUCUUUUUCUUAACAAUAGACACCUGUAUUGUAUUGUAUUGUAUUGUGACAACAGAAUAUGCACUGCACACACAUUCCUGAUAUUCUAGAUACGAGUACGAGUACUAGGGAAGCAGGUUUUUUUUUUCUUCUGUUUGCUGUCAUAUGGCCCAUACUUCAUCCAUUCCAAAAUAAAUCAACUUGUGGCUAAGAAGUUGAUUUAUUUUGGAACAGAGGGAGUACACGAUAACUUGGAACCCCCAUCUGGUCAGUAUAUAGCUUAUGAGUUAGAGCAGCAUUCAUUAAUUAAUAUCUACAAACACAGAAGGAGAUUUGCAAGCAACAUUAAAAGCACAGGGCACUGAAGAACAACAAUGACCAGAAGUUACAGUAGAUUUUUUUUUUACAUGGCAAUGGCUAAUGAACGAACCUACUACAGGUGGUCAACGAGGAGAGGAGGAGAUGGCCAUACGGAGAAGGCAAAAACAAGGGCCAAAAAAAUAGCCUUCCCAUUGAUUGAUCUAUCUCCUCAGAAUGAACGCGUGCUUGCUUGAUGCUUCUUC